AUGGCCACCUUUGAGGAGGUGAGCGUGCUGGGCUUCGAGGAGUUCAACAAGGCAGUGAAGGAGCAUGAGGGCAAGACCAUUUUUGCCUACUUCAGUGGUUCUAAGGAUACCGAAGGGAAGAGCUGGUGUCCAGACUGCAUGGAAGCUGAGCCAGUCAUUCGAGAGGGGCUGAAGCAUGUUACCGAAGACUGUGUGUUCAUCUACUGCCAAGUAGGAGACAAACCUUACUGGAAAGACCCAAAUAAUGACUUCAGACAAAAACUAAAAAUAACCGCAGUGCCUACACUACUUAAAUAUGGAACACCUCAAAAACUUGUGGAGUCUGAGUGCUGUCAAGCCAGCCUUGUGGAGAUGAUCUUCUCUGAAGAUUAAGAUUUGAUGACCUUGCCGGACUGUGGUGGCACAUGCCUUUAGUCCCAGCACUCGGGAGACAGAGGCAGCUGGAUCUCUUUGAGUUUGAGGCCAGC